AGAGUUUGAUCAUGGCUCAGAACGAACGCUGGCGGCGUGCUUAACACAUGCAAGUCGCGUGCGCAGUUCCGUAGCAAUACGGGAUGGGCGCACGGCGCACGGGUGCGUAACACGUGGGCAAUCUGCCCUCCGAUGGGGAAUAACCCCGCGAAAGCGGGGCUAAUACCGCAUAACAUUCCUUGGAUCUUGGUCUGAGGAUUCAAAGCAGCAAUGCGUCGGAGGAGGAGCCCGCGCCCGAUUAGCUAGUUGGUGAGGUAACGGCUCACCAAGGCAAUGAUCGGUAGCUGGUCUGAGAGGAUGGCCAGCCACACUGGAACUGAGACACGGUCCAGACUCCUACGGGAGGCAGCAGUGGGGAAUCUUGCGCAAUGGGCGAAAGCCUGACGCAGCGACGCCGCGUGGGGGAUGAAGCUUUUCGGAGUGUAAACCCCUUUCGACUGGGACGAAUGCCCGCAAGGGAGUGACGGUACCAGUAGAAGAAGCCCCGGCUAACUACGUGCCAGCAGCCGCGGUAAGACGUAGGGGGCCAGCGUUGUUCGGAAUUACUGGGUGUAAAGGGUUCGUAGGCGGUGUGGCAAGUCGGGAGUGAAAUCUCUGGGCUUAACUCAGAGGCUGCUUCCGAAACUGCUGUGCUUGAGUGUGGGAGAGGCGCGUGGAAUUGCAGGUGUAGCGGUGAAAUGCGUAGAUAUCUGCAGGAACACCCGUGGCGAAAGCGGCGCGCUGGACCACAACUGACGCUGAGGAACGAAAGCUAGGGGAGCAAACAGGAUUAGAUACCCUGGUAGUCCUAGCCCUAAACGAUCAGGACUUGGGGUGCCGCCCGUUCGGGCGUCGUCCCGGAGCUAACGCGUUAAGUCCUGCACCUGGGGGAGUACGGUCGCAAGACUGAAACUCAAAGGAAUGGACGGGGGCUCGCACAAGC
rnacentral:rRNA from 1 species